GGGGGCGUGGCGAAAUUGGUAGACGCAUUUAGGUUCCNUGGCGAAAUUGGUAGACGCACUGGAUUUAGGUUCCAGCGCCGCAAGGUGUAAGAGUUCGAGUCUCUUCGCCCCCACCA
rnacentral:tRNA from 1 species